CAAGGUAUAGCUAAACAUUCUAAAGCAUCCCACUUACACCGAGAAAUUAACCGUGAAAAUCGGUUUACCUUGA
rnacentral:tRNA from 2 species